rnacentral:rRNA from 1 species
UUUAUGGAGAGUUUGAUCCUGGCUCAGAGUGAACGCUGGCGGCGUGCCUAAUACAUGCAAGUCGAACGAUGAAGCUUCUAGCUUGCUAGAGUGCUGAUUAGUGGCGCACGGGUGAGUAACGCAUAGGUCAUGUGCCUCUUAGUUUGGGAUAGCCAUUGGAAACGAUGAUUAAUACCAGAUACUCCCUACGGGGGAAAGAUUUAUCGCUAAGAGAUCAGCCUAUGUCCUAUCAGCUUGUUGGUAAGGUAAUGGCUUACCAAGGCUAUGACGGGUAUCCGGCCUGAGAGGGUGAACGGACACACUGGAACUGAGACACGGUCCAGACUCCUACGGGAGGCAGCAGUAGGGAAUAUUGCUCAAUGGGGGAAACCCUGAAGCAGCAACGCCGCGUGGAGGAUGAAGGUUUUAGGAUUGUAAACUCCUUUUGUUAGAGAAGAUAAUGACGGUAUCUAACGAAUAAGCACCGGCUAACUCCGUGCCAGCAGCCGCGGUAAUACGGAGGGUGCAAGCGUUACUCGGAAUCACUGGGCGUAAAGAGCGCGUAGGCGGGAUAGUCAGUCAGGUGUGAAAUCCUAUGGCUUAACCAUAGAACUGCAUUUGAAACUACUAUUCUAGAGUGUGGGAGAGGUAGGUGGAAUUCUUGGUGUAGGGGUAAAAUCCGUAGAGAUCAAGAGGAAUACUCAUUGCGAAGGCGACCUGCUGGAACAUUACUGACGCUGAUUGCGCGAAAGCGUGGGGAGCAAACAGGAUUAGAUACCCUGGUAGUCCACGCCCUAAACGAUGGAUGCUAGUUGUUGGAGGGCUUAGUCUCUCCAGUAAUGCAGCUAACGCAUUAAGCAUCCCGCCUGGGGAGUACGGUCGCAAGAUUAAAACUCAAAGGAAUAGACGGGGACCCGCACAAGCGGUGGAGCAUGUGGUUUAAUUCGAAGAUACACGAAGAACCUUACCUAGGCUUGACAUUGAGAGAAUCCGCUAGAAAUAGUGGAGUGUCUGGCUUGCCAGACCUUGAAAACAGGUGCUGCACGGCUGUCGUCAGCUCGUGUCGUGAGAUGUUGGGUUAAGUCCCGCAACGAGCGCAACCCCCUUUCUUAGUUGCUAACAGGUUAUGCUGAGAACUCUAAGGAUACUGCCUCCGUAAGGAGGAGGAAGGUGGGGACGACGUCAAGUCAUCAUGGCCCUUACGCCUAGGGCUACACACGUGCUACAAUGGGGUGUACAAAGAGAAGCAAUACUGCGAAGUGGAGCCAAUCUUCAAAACACCUCUCAGUUCGGAUUGUAGGCUGCAACUCGCCUGCAUGAAGCUGGAAUCGCUAGUAAUCGCAAAUCAGCCAUGUUGCGGUGAAUACGUUCCCGGGUCUUGUACUCACCGCCCGUCACACCAUGGGAGUUGUGUUUGCCUUAAGUCAGGAUGCUAAAUUAGCUACUGCCCACGGCACACACAGCGACUGGGGUGAAGUCGUAACAAGGUAACCGUAGGUGAACCUGCGGUUGGAUCACCUCCUUU